GAGUUUGAUCUUGGCUCAGAUUGAACGCUGGCGGCAUGCCUUACACAUGCAAGUCGAACGGCAGCACGGGAGCUUGCUCCUGGUGGCGAGUGGCGAACGGGUGAGUAAUGCAUCGGAACGUAUCCUGGAGUGGGGGAUAACGUAGCGGAAGUUACGCUAAUACCGCAUAUUCUGUGAGCAGGAAAGCGGGGGACCUUCGGGCCUCGCGCUCUUGGAGCGGCCGAUGUCGGAUUAGCUAGUUGGUGAGGUAAAGGCUCACCAAGGCGACGAUCCGUAGCAGGUCUGAGAGGAUGAUCUGCCACACUGGAACUGAGACACGGUCCAGACUCCUACGGGAGGCAGCAGUGGGAUAUGGACAAUGGGGCAACCUGAUCCAGCCAUGCCGCGUGAGUGAAGAGGCCU
rnacentral:rRNA from 1 species